rnacentral:misc_RNA from 1 species
GGAUUUUCCCACCUGCAUAAAUAUUAAUCAGAGAUAAAUAACAGUUAAUCAAGUGUUCAGGUUAGCAAUUUUCAUAAAAUACUGGAGCACUGGAAAAUUUUAUAAUCCGUUACUUUAAAAAAAUGGGUACGAUAAUUAGAUGAACUUCCAAGAAAAAUUACUUGGAAAUCAAUGAUGUCGGCAGAUGGUAAAGGAACCACUCAAUAUUGCAAAAUAAAGGAUAUUCAGUUGUCAUAUGAUAAGAAGAAAAAAAUUAUGCUUCAGGAUUUCAAAAACAAAGUUUUGGAUGCUUCACUGACUUUCCAAAAAUAAAUUUUUUCUUAGCAUAAACAUGGGAAUUGUCAGCAUCUGCAAGCAUCACUACAAAGGGAUCAUUAUUAAUCAAAUUUCCUCAUUUGAAAGCCUGCCUAGCCACUACAAAUCAUUUGAAAA